GAAAAGUCUCCGAAUUUGAUUGAGGUUUUGGCUACCCCACCAUUAUCAGGCAUCCCGAGCGCGUUCCCGAAGUCGGAAUCGGCAAAGGUGAGCCGGGACAGCCUUCAUCCUCCGCCCAGCCGCCACAGUGAUUGUCGUCAAGUCUGUGAGUAAAAUAUUAAUUUUAAUUGUAAUUUCGAUAUUAUUAUAUGUUCAACAUGCCCAUGCAUCACUUAUAUGCAUAUAUUUAUGUAGUUAAACUCUAGGCACGAUUUAUGAUGCAUUGAUAAAUGUUAAAGUGCCAUGAUGUUGUUGUGGUAAUUUGGAGCAGUGUGCGUGCGUGUGACGUGGUGUGGACUAUGGAUAGGACGGGUAGUCACGGCUUGAGUUCUUCGCUGGGACCCGAUCCUUCGAGGGGUAGUCACGGCUUGAGUUCUUCGCUGGGACCCUCGAUUUGGUUUAUUAAGCGAAAGUCCGGCUUGAGUUCUUCGCUGGCACCAGGUUGGAUUUAAGAGAGCUGUAUAGGGGAUCAGCUCCCAUAUGCUAUGAUUGAUGCUACAGGGUGCGUGAGUGCUCCAAAUUACCUUUUUGAUGUUAUGAUGUGAAAAUAUUGUGUAUGUUGCAUUUCACUCCACAGGGCGCAUUAGUUUCAGAUAGUUAUAGAGAUUAUGGUUAAAAUUGAUAUUUUACUCUCUGAGUCGAACGCUCACUCCUGUUCAAUAUUUUUCCAGGCCACAGGAGGAGUUAUUUUACAGAGCAACCUGUUUUUGCUUCCUCGCAGGUUUAAUGUCGAUUAUUUAAUUAUAUUAUUAUUCUCUAAAUUUGUAAUUUAGGACUCCGCAUGUGCUAGUAGUAGCAUUAAGCCUGUCAGGGACUGUAUGAAUUCAAGAUCGCGUAUUAAUAAAUGAAAAGAAAAAUUUUACGAGUUUUAAA